UUUCUAUAAAAGAAUAGUCCAAUAGUAUUUCUUAAAUUAACCUUAAUAAUAAUAAUUAUUAAUUAUCAUUUAAAAAUCAGCUGCAAUUACAUAAUAAUAAUAAAAUCUGCGAUUUAUUUAUAACCAAUAAAAUAAUCAAAGAAUAAAUAACUUAAAUAUAACAUAUAAAAUUCAAGAUUACCAACAUAAUAUACAAAAAAAUUUUAUGGUCAUUUUAUGGUAUGUAGCAAUAUUCAUGUUAAACAUGAAAUAAGUUUACGUUACCGUUUUAUUAUAUGCGUAUUAAAAAAAAUUGUUAUAAUCUAAUUUAUUUAAUUUAAUCAAAUACUUAUUUGUACUUAUAUUCGAAUAUAUUUUUUUUUAUUUUUCUGUAAAAGUAUUUCAAAUUAAAAUGUCUAAAAACGAACGAGGUAUAUUUCAACAGAUUUUUAAACAUUUUAUUGCAUCAUUAAAAAUAAAUCAACAUAAAUUAAUUGGCGAAGAUUAUUAUGGUACAAAAUAUUAUGAAAUACAAAAGUCAAAUUCUUCAAGAAAUCCACGAUAUUUUAUACCCGUAAAUAAUGAUAAUCACGAGCAAGAAUUACCUGUAGAAUGGGAGGCAUGGUUAAGAUAUCGUAGAAAAGUUCCACCAUCAAAAGAAGAAAUAGAAAAAAAUUAUAAAUUAAAAAUGAUGAUAAAACAAAAUUCUGCACAAAUAGAAGCAAAAUAUUCAAGUAAUAAAUCGCAAAAAUCAACAUUACAUAAUAAAGAAUAUACCUCAUUUCCAGUUUAUGAUGAAUAUAAAAAUUAUGGACAAAACUAUAACAUAAAAUAUAAAAAAAACAAAGAAAAUAAUGAUUAGAUCAGGUAUAAUUAAAUUAUGCAUCUUUUUAGAAUGUUUAAAGUUAAUAAAAUUUAGUAAAUAUGUACAAACUUUAUUGUAACAUAUAAUUGUAUUAUGACAUAUAAUUUAUAUGUAUUAUUUGUUUAUAGCCUAUGAAUAAAACAAUUUAUUAAUAUCCUA